AAAAAUAAAUAAAAAAGUAGAAACAAGUUAUCUCUAACUUACAGUGGUAACUUUAAAUUAAAAUAAUAAUUUAAUAGUAAUUUUAAACUAAAAUUAGUGUUAAAAAGAUUUUAAUGAAAUUUUGAGUGACAAUUUAAUGAAAACUUUAUGAAAUAAUAAAAGAAUUGUAAAAACAAUCCAUGGGGGGAUCUUUCUUAAAGGAAGCAUUUUUAUUUUUAAGGGUAAUUGAUUUUUUUUAAAAUAUAUUUUUAAGGGCAAAAUUGACUUUUUUCUUAAACAAAAAUCUAAAAAGAAAAUUUUCAUACUUGACAAAUUUUCAAUUGUGACCAAUUUUUAAAAAUAAUAUAUCAGUAAUA
rnacentral:misc_RNA from 1 species